GUUAUAGGGUCAAGCGAACAAGUGCAUGUGGUGGAUGCCUUGGCGAUCACAGGCGAUGAAGGACGCGGUAGCCUGCGAAAAGCUACGGGGAGCUGGCAAACAAGCUUUGAUCCGUAGAUGUCCGAAUGGGGAAACCCACUCCUUUUGGAGUAUCCAUGGCUGAAUACAUAGGCCAUGCGAAGCGAACGCGGUGAACUGAAACAUCUAAGUAACCGCAGGAAAAGAAAUCAACCGAGAUUCCCAAAGUAGUGGCGAGCG
rnacentral:rRNA from 1 species